GGGAUUUUUUUUUUUCUUUUUUUUUCUUUUUUUCCUUUUUUUUUUCUUUUCAAAUUUUCCAUUUUAAGUUGGUUAUUUCUGAUUAAUAUUUAAAAGCAAAUAAUAAUGAUAUGGUAGGAGAUACACACCAAACAGGAUGUGUGAAUUAUUAAUUAAUAAGUAUUGUGCAAUAGCAAGAAAUUUUCAAUUGCACAGUAUUGCACAAUUGCAAGAAAUCUUCAAUUGCACAGUAUUGCGCAAUAGCAAGAAAUCUUCAAUUGCACAGUAUUGCGCAAUAGCAAGAAAUAUCCAAUAGCACAAUAUUGCGCAAUAGCAAGAAAUUGUCAAUUGUACAGUAUUGCACAAUAGCAAGAAAUAUUCAAUUGCACAGUAUUGUGCAAAAGAAGAUACUUCGUAUAAAUUGCUUAUUUCUUGAUCAAUUUCAAUGGGGUUUUAUUCUUGAAUCCUUGGGGUUCUUUAAUAUGCUGAAUCUAACCGUGUAUUAAGUUUUUGGAUUUUGGGCCCCGUUUUUAAAUUGGUCUACAUUAAGGUCAAAAGGGUCCAAAAUUAAACUUAGUUUGAUUUUAACAAAAAUUGAAUUUUUAGGGUACUUUGAUAUGCUGAAUCUAAACAUGUAUUUAGAUUUUUGAUUAUGGGCCCAGUUUUCAAGUUGGUCCAAAUCGGGGUCCAAAAUUAAACUUUGUUUGAUUUCAACAAAAAUUGAAUAUAUGGGGUUCUUUGAUAUGCUGAAUCUAACCAUGUAUUUAGAUUUUUGAUUUUUGGGCCCCGUUAUCAACUUUGUCCACAUUGAGGUCAAAAGGGUUCAAAAUUAAACUUUGUUUGAUUUCAUCAAAAAUUGAAUUCUUGGGGUUCUUUGAUAUGCUGAAUCUAACCAUGUAUUUAGAUUUUUUAUUUGUGGACCCGCUAUCAAAUUGGUUCAUAUUGAGGUCAAAAGGGUCCAAAAUUAAACUUUGUUUGAUUUCAUCAAAAAUUGAAUUAUUGGGGUUCUUUGAUAUGCCAAAUCUAACCGUGUAUUUAGAUUUUUAAUUUUGGGUCCCAUUUUUUAAAUUGGUCUACAUUAAGGUCCAAAGGGUCCAAAAUUAAACUUAGUUUGAUUUUAACAAAAAUUGAAUUUUUGGGGUUCUUUGAUAUGCUGAAUCUAAACAGGUGUUUAGAUUUUUGAUUAUGGGACCAGUUUUCAAGUUGGUCCAAGUUGGGGUCCAAAAUUAAACUUUGUUUGAUUUCAACAAAAAUUGAAUAUAUGGGGUUCUUUGAUAUGCUGAAUCUAAACAUGUAUUUAGAUUUUAGAUUUUUGGCCCAGUUUUCAAGUUGGUCCAAAUUGGGGUCCAAAAUUAAAUUUUGUUUGAUUUCAACAAAAAUUGAAUAUAUGGGGUUCUUUGAUAUGCUGAAUCUAACCAUGUAUUUUGAUUUUGGACAUUGGACCAUAAUAGGUAAAUUAAAAAAAUUGAAGUUCUUAGACCACAUUCUUUCUGUGUCAGAAACCUAUGCUGUGUCAAAUAUUUAAUCACAAUCCAAAUUCAGAGCUGUAUCAAGCUUGAAUGUUGUGUCCAUACUUGCCCAAACUGUUCAGGGUUCGACCUCUGCGGUCGUAUCAAGCUGCGCCCAGCGAAGCAUUUUAUUAGUAACUUGAGAUGAAAGUUAUAAUGGCUAUUUAUUUCUUUGAAUGUUUAAUGAAUAAGACCAUUAUUUCUAAUUAUAAUACCUUUAGUAUCAUAUGAAACAUCAUCUGGUAUGUAUGUCCUUACAAAACCACUCGUAUGAAUAUAGAGUUGGAUAAUAAAAUAAUGAUAGGCAACCCAACAAUGCAACUUUACAGAAAAAUGACAUCUAAAAGCCACCAUAAGGCAAUAACAAUGGGCAAAGAUUUAAUACCACACUGCAUUGAGUCAUCGUGAGGUAGAACACGUCCAAGUAUCAAUCACAAAAUGCCUUAUAGAUUUGAUAAAUAACGAAUUAUUUUAGUUUGUAAUUGUUGAUAAUUGUUUCAGACAGAUAAAUGAAAGUUUAAAUUUAUUUUUCAUAAUUGCUGACUCAUUGCUAAAUUAGCCAGGCUUCUUUUAUAGUAGAUAAGUGCUUUACAAAAUAUAAUCCUUUAAAGAAUAAUUAUAAAAAUUUGAGAAUACUUAUACAAUUAACCUGAAAAAAAGAGAUGAUGUGUGAAAGAUGCUCUAUGCUGGGAAUUUAUUUGAUGAAAUCUCUGAAGAGAAAACAGUAUAGUGAUAUCCCAUCAGAAUCCAAAAAAUUUCCUUAUGUGAAUAAAAUAUAACUUCUUGUUAUUGAUACACAGGUAACAGGUAUGUUGUUUGUUACUAGGUCUGUUGUUGGUUUGUUAUUUACCAUUAUUGUUGUGUACCCUGUGUUCUGUAAAGUUUCAAGUCUAUAAAUAGAAAGGUGACAUAUGAUGAUUAUAGAUGCCACUGGUUGGUUUUGUUUGAUGAUAUAUUACAUAUAUUUUGGACAGGAAUAAAUUAUCAUUAUAUCAUGAA